CCUACGGGAGGCUGCAGUGAGGAAUAUUGGUCAAUGGACGAGAGUCUGAACCAGCCAAGUAGCGUGAAGGAUGACGGCCCUCUGGGUUGUAAACUUCUUUUAUAUGGGAUAAAAUGUUCCACGUUGGGGCUUUUAUUUUUUGCAUCUUCAUAAGAAGCAGCUAACUCCGUGCCAGCAGCCGCGGUAAUACGGAGGAUCCGGGCGUUGUCCGGAUUUAUUGGGUUUAAAGGGAGCGUAGGUGGCUUGUUAAGUCAGUUGUGAAAGUUUUCGGCUCAACCGUAAAAUUGCAGUUGAAACUGGAAGUCUUGAGUACAGUAGGGGUGGGCGGAAUUCGUGGUGUAGCGGUGAAAUGCUUAGAUAUCACGAAGAACUCCGAUCGCGAAGGCAGGUCACUGGAGUGCAACUGACACUGAGGCUCGAAAGUGUGGGUAUCAAACAGGAUUAGAUACCCUUGUAGUC
rnacentral:rRNA from 1 species